GAAGUCGCCCCCGCCGCCGACGACGUCGGCCGCGUCGCUACGCGCCGCGCCUGCUUACCGGCGCAUAAAUCAGAAUUAUUACGAAGCUAUUAGCGUGCCGUGGUAACACCGGUACGUGUCCUUCGUGCCGCGGGAAGGUAGUGCACUCUCGUCGAGCCACCCCUACGUCUGCGUUCCUGCAACGGUUUAGCGCUAUAGUCUCAACACCCCUGCUCAUAAUCUACGGCUCGCCGUCUGUGGUGUAUUUGCGUGCACGCACAACGCAACUGGGCAAACCGCGAGCUAUGCCGUAUUGCAUUAAUCUUUGUCACCGCUUUCGCUCGGACCUUGCACUUUAAGUUGGCCAAAACCGAGCCGAGUUAAUUGCAACAACAGUACGGCAAACAAUGGAGAUCAGCUGCUUAAAAAUAUCUGAAGAAACGACCGGAACGAUUUUAAGUAACUUUUAUUUAUACUAUUCCGUUGAAUAGUCUGGAUCACUUGGACACGAUUUCAAGUCAUUCUUUAUCAACGACAACCUCGAAUUAGACGACUCCAAACCGACGAUUAAUAAAAGUUGGCCAACAAAAUGCUUUGUAGCUGAGAAGCCAAUAAUUUCGACGCGUGAUCGAUUCGGCAAGAUAGUAACUAAUAACGUGCGAAGCCCGGCACGUAAUCAUUGUCAUCUAUAGACAUGUAAAUUAUGCAGUCGGAUAUAAACGUCAAUAUGACAGCCGGAGACUGGCCGAGGCUACAGUCCUUUGCGAACCUCUAUUGCCCGUUCGGUCAAAGUGAAAUUAUUAGUUUGCUUAAAUCAAUGCGCGCGUAAACGUCCGAGUUAUUUAUGCUCCGUCAUUACGGAGACCUUCACGGCUCGAAAUCUUGUCUACCGCUUGGCCACCCUCUCGCUUCCCUUUUCUGAGUCCUGAGGUGUUCUUGGCACAGGUUACUCGUUUACGCCCACUUGAGAAUAAAAUGUCGAUUGCUUUUAUUAUUCUCAUUAUUUAGAAUAUCUGCAUUUAACAUCAAAAGAAGUAUAAAUAAUAAAUAUCCGUAGUUCUCCGACUUUAAUCAGUGUUAACUAAAUAUACAUAAAGUACAAGUUUAUUUCAUAAGCGUGGGAUGUAUCGGAACUCUUCAGAUAGAUCUCUGUCUCGUUGUCUUUAAUAGUACGCGCUCCCAUUAUAAAUACAUGGCAAUUGAUUUAGUGAUAAAACGGGAAUAACUCUAAAAUAUAACGGUUAACGUUGCGCUUAACGCCAUCAUCGGAAGUAUCCCGUAAAUCAUGGAUACUAACGAAACAGCUCGCGGAGCACGAAUACGAACUCAACGAAGCUCGGACUCGACCGAAGUACACGCAUUAACUGGCGCGGUGACUCGAAUUAUCGAAUUUCCAGACAUGUCUCAACGAAUGUUUCUCUUCAGGAUUUACUGCCGAGUGAAUGUACUCGGCGAUCACCGGACUACACUUAAAACGGCGUGAACCGUCUUCUAACCGCAAUCCCGAGAAUUUUCCGUCCGUUGCGUAGGAUCCACCGAGGAGCACGCGUCACGCUCGCGACACAGUUGAACCACGUGCACCGCGAAGAACCACGACUGUUACUUUACUAAUCUACAGAACAACAUGUAAUAAAAUCGCGUUAGUUGAUGCCGAA